GACGAACGCUGGCGGCGUGCUUAACACAUGCAAGUCGAACGAAGUGGCGAACGGGUGAGUAACGCGUAAUCAACCUGCCCUUCAGAGGGGGACCACAGUUGGAAACGACUGCUAAUACCGCAUACUGAAGGAGGGGAUUGCGUCUGAUUAGCUAGUUGGAGGGGUAACGGCCAACCAAGGCGAUGCUCAGAAGCCGGUCGUAUAGGAUGUACGGCAACAUUGGGACUCAUACACGGCCAAGACUCAUACGGGAGGCAGCAGGGGGAAAUCUUCCGAAAUGGACGAAAGGCGGACGGAGCAACUCCGCGUGAGUGAUGACGGCCUUCGCGUUGUAAAGCUCUGUUAAUCGGGACGCGGUACCGGAAUAGAAAGCCACGGCUAACUACGUGCCAGCCGCCGCGGUAUAC
rnacentral:rRNA from 1 species